AUUGAUAAUGACAAGGCAAGAUGCUGGCAUAGCUGAUAAACUAUUUAUUACCAGCUAUUCAGGAUCUUUCCCUGAAUAUAUCAAU
rnacentral:pre_miRNA from 1 species